CACCUGACUCCAUUCCGAACUCAGAAGUGAAACGUAUUAGCGCCGAUGGUAGUGUGGGGUUUCCCCAUGUGAGAGUAGGACACUGCCAGGU
rnacentral:rRNA from 1 species